rnacentral:lncRNA from 1 species
UCAAGUCUUGCAUUUUGGAAGAAAUUUCUAUUCCAAAUUUUCCGUCGAGCUAUAUGUUGAUUUUGUGCCACUUGAGUUGAACUAAUAUUGCCUUCUCCUCCUCUAGCCACAUUUUCAUUUGUUUCCACUUGAGUUAAACUGGUACCGCCUUCUCUUCUGUUAGCCACAUUUUCAUUUGUGUCCACUUGAGUUGAACUAGUACCGCCUUCUCCUCUGUUUGCCAAAUUUUCAUUUGUGGUCACUCGAGUUGAACUA